CACGAGAGCCACGCCCACCUACAAUUAAAGCAGACUCAUAAGGGAAAACAGACAGACAGACAUAAAAGGGUGGGAAACAGCAGAGAACAAAAGGAAAACAGAGGAGAGCGACCACUGGAUAUAACAAUAACGUGCUGUUUCGAAAUGGCGAUGUUUGGAAACGCUAGAGUUUUACUUUGAAAGUCUACCCGGACGUUGCAUAUUUGUUGUUGCUAACUUGACCGCGGAGACUACACGUCUAAAAAGCGACGCUGAAGGGCCUUGACCAAGCGUCAAAUAUGUGACGAGUCGGAGGAAGCUUUCACCUUUCACAGCGAUGCUGGCGCAGAACUACGGCUUGAACCUUUCAGAAAUAUUCUGAAUGUAUACGGGAAACAGAAAAAUAACCCUGCACCGCUGGACUGAGCUGAGUGUACCUGCAGGACAUCAGAUCAGCUGUAACCAAUCACAACUGGAGGAUUCAGAGUGUCCUCCACGCCGGGUUAAAGCUCUUGUGUCAGCCCCAGCUGUCUGCGGAGGAGAGCGUCUCUGUGAAUAGACCUUCCCUGUGCACUGAUGAGCCGAAACAUCCGACGUGAGAAAAGAGCAGGUGUCAAUAAUAACAUUAAUGAUCGCUCCGUUCCUUUUAGACAAAAUAAAUCAGAAGCAGCCUAUUCACUGUGCUUUCCCUUUAAGAAGUAAAAGAUUUAAGGGACUAGAUAGAAUGAUAUAAAUCUUUCUCUCAUAUCUUCUUUAUUCACCUUCUUUCCUCGCUGUGAGGACUUUGUCCCAUUACCUGCUCCUACAGUGCCAAAUGAUUGACUCCCUCUGUUUAUCCACUUUAAUCUGCCAGGCCUGCUGAAUCAAUGUUAAUGUGUUUUAUGAAAUGUUAACUCGCUGCAAAAGCUGCUCUUCCUGAUUAAAUAUUGACAGAGAGG